CAUUCAUCUAAAUAAAUUCAUGACAAUUUGUCAAACUUUCAAAAAUCAAAAUUUAGAUGAAAAAGGUGUAAAAUUGAGAUAGUUCCCAAUGACCUUAGAGGAUCGAGCCGCGGCAUGGCUAUAUUCUCUGGCCCCAAAUUCCAUCACAACAUGGGAACAACUAUCUAGGAAGUUCAUGGCAAAAUUUUACCCCAUGAUUAAAACAGAAAAAAUU
rnacentral:lncRNA from 1 species